rnacentral:tRNA from 1 species
ACGCCAAUAGCUCAAUUGGUAGAGCAGCGGAUUCCAAAUCCGCAGGUUGGGGGUUCGAGUCCCUCUUGGCGUGC